rnacentral:lncRNA from 1 species
GGACCAUCCAUAAAGCUCCCUCUGGCUUAGAAGCAGAAGGAAGAGACCUGUGUGUGUCCACUUGGCUGAGGGAUCCUCGGUGAGAAGACUGUUCCUGGGUUUGGGUGGCCAUCAGGCGCAGGCACCCACAGCUCUCACCUGGUGCGGAUGCGUGGAGAGGUUUGGAAGCUCUAGGAGAAGAAAGAUGUUGGGAACAAAUAAUUGCCUGCACCUUCUCUCCUGCCCAGAGGAAAGAGCCAGGAAAUAGGAAGAUUUCCAAGCCAAAGUCUGCAACUUAUCCAUGGGGCCACAGGAUGAUGCACAUCGCUGACUGGACUCAGGGCCCCUGGAGUCUCCCAUGGCCCACAAAUGCCUUGAACUAAACAUACUGCAGGGAUGCUGACAUCUAUAAACUUAUGAGUCUGAUGCGGUCUCCACUGCUAACUAACCUCUUGAAGCCUUCUUUUGCUCUUUGUGUUUUUUAUUGGAAAGUGGGCAAAAUGAUAGUGUCUACCUGUCUUAGUCCUAGUCCAUUCAGGCUGCUCUAACAGAAUAUCACAAACAGUAAGGUGGCUUUUAAAUGAGACAUUUAUUUCUCAUAGCUCUGGAGGCUGGAAGUCCAAAACUGGGGGAUCCAGUAUGGUUGGAUGAGGGCCCUCUUCUGGGUUGUAGAUACCUCAGUAUACACUUAUGAGGGUAGAAAGGGACAGCAGAAGUGAUUUAUCAGGAGGCUUCUUACAUAAGGCACUAAUACCAUUCAUGAGGGCUGCACCCUCAUGACGUAAGCACCUCUCCGAGGCUUCAGCUCCUGACCAUCAUCUUGCGUGUAGGUUCAGUCACUCAGUCAUGUCCGACUCUCUGUGGCUUCGUGGAUUGUAGACUGCCAGCCUCCUCUGUCCAUGGAAUUUUCUAGUCAAGAGUACUGGAGUGGGUUAACACGCCUUCUCCAGGGAUUCUUCCCGACCCAGGGAUUGAACUCGUGUCUCUUUCAUCUCCUGCGCUGGCAAGUGGAUUCUUUAUCACUGGGGGCUAAGAUUUCCACAUAUGAACUUUGAGGGGACACAGCAUUCAGGUCGUAGUACUACCUCAAAGACUGCUUUAGGUUUUCCAUGAGGAAAUUAUAAAGCAUUUCAAUGCAUGUUUGGUUUAUGCCAAAACUCAAACUAAAUGGUGACUGUCUGUGACUUGCCAUUUUUGUGCCCAUUUUCUCAUUUGGAAAACAGGAUAAACAAUAAAUAACCCUUAUACUCUA